AUUUGGCAAUCUCUCUAUCGGGAGGCACCUGGAAAAGAUCCGUUUAGACCUGAUCGGAAGAGACCCGUAAAAAAUUUCUUCCUUGCCGGAUCGUACACAAAACAAGUAAGUUUAUGCAACUGAUUUUGCCAUAGAAGAAGAAUGACGAAAGUAAAGUGUCAAGUGUUGUAAAUUCUAAAUGGCUGUACCUUUUACAUUACUAUAUAGACAGCAUGGAAUGAUGAUCUUCCAACGUUCAUAUUUUUCGUGGUUGCCAUAUCGUACGAAGAAACGCCAAAAGAAGCAGAAUUAUCUUGAUCUUCUUCGACACUGUAAUACCUAAUUAAGAUUUUUUUUUUUUUGCAACAUCAUGCUAUCCAUUGUGCUUGCUCUUGUCUUAUAGAAGUGAAUUUAUACGGUUGCGUUGUGUGGACAAUGCUGGCUCUUCUGACGGCAUGGUGCCUCUGUAGCAGCAGCUACUGUAUACUUAGCUAGCAAGGGUAAUGCGCAAAUUGGUUUGCAAUCUGCCAACAAUUCAACUCCUGCGAGCUCAUCUCUGACUCUUUAAUUUGAUCUUUUAUAGGAGUUGUUUUUAUACUCCUAAUCUUGCUCUCAGCUGCAGCCCUCCCUCGAUGUUGAGUGUCAGUCUUAUACAUUCUCAACGAUGCACGUAUAUAUGUAUUGAUUUGUGCAUCAGUUUGUCAGUUCGUGUGUAUUGUAAGUGAAAGAUUGAAUCCAUCGUGUGUCAGCUAAAAUGUUUCUUUUUUCUUUAUUUGAUAUGAAAAACGUAUGCCGUAUUAU